ACCCCACACCUGCAAGCUAAACAUAUUUUUAGGGCAAAUCAUUUCAGCCUCCCCAAUCGCCUCUAUCUCUAUUCUCGUUCUCAACUCUGAACUUGCCUCCCUCUCUCUCUCUGCAACUGCAAACUACAAAAUCUACCAGAAUCAGAAGUUUAAAACCCAUAUAUUUCAAACUACAAAAUCUACCAGAAUCAGAAGUUUAAAACCCAUAUAUUUAAGUCUAUCUAUCUGUCUGCAAGAAUCAAAGGUUCAAAACCUAUUACCUAUAUCAAAACCCAUAUCGGCGUAUCAUUUCAGAUUGUUCAAAAAAUCAAAACCCAUAUCAUUCAGUUUCCAUCGGCCGUUGUUCCAGUUCGGGUUCGCCGUUCGCAAGCUUCAGCCGCUCUCUCAACUCUCAAGCUUGCCCCCCUCCCUCUCUGCAACUGCUAACUUGGUUAGUAUCGGGCUUUAACAUUUAGCAAGAACAAGAUUCAAGAAACAUGCCUCCUCAGUCAUCAGGUCUCGUUUUUGAAAGACGAGAGUUGAUGGGAAUGGGUGGAUUUGGCAAAAAGAAAAUAUAAACGAACCAGAACAAAAAUGCGUCCCUGGAUGCAUUCUCUUUCCGUAUCUUCCGGAGGGUGAGGUGCAAAAAUUUCAUAAUUCAAGUGCUGACUGCUAAUCUGGAGCAGAACACUGAGAUUGUCCAGAAGCUCCAAGCCGAGAUUGAGACUCUCAGAACUCAGACUCAGAUACACAUCAACAAUGAUACUCAUCAUGCAGCAGUCCUUCCAGCAGAAGAAUGAUGAGAUUGAAGUGCUGACUGCUGAAAUUGGAAAGCUGAAGGGUCAGGAUGGGGUCCUGGGCCAUCGUCAGGAGGAAAUUGAAAAGCUGGGUCCUGGCCGGUGGUACUACUUAGCAUAUAUCAAAUAGUAGAUAAAACACUAUGAUAUAUUGCGACACUACUCACUUUUUACCUUUGUACCUAUGUAGAUAAAAACGAAAUUGAGACCCUCAGAACUCAGUCUCAGAUACACAUCAACAAUGAUACUCAUCAUGCAGCAGUCCUUCCAGCAGAAGAAUGAUGAGAUUGAAGUGCUGACUGCUGAAAUUGGAAAGCUGAAGGGUCAGGAUGGGGUCCUGGGCCAUCGUCAAGAGGAAAUUGGAAAGCUGGGUCCUGGCUGGUGGUGCUACUUAGCAUAUAUCAAAUAGUAGAUAAAACACUCAUAUAUUGUGACACUACUCACUUUUUACCUUAGUACCUAUGUAGAUAAAAAUUGUGAUAUCCCUUCAUUGAACUGUUACAUGCAGAGUGAUGAAUGGUGAUAAAAUUUGUGAGUUCUCAUUAGUUGCAUGACCAUAGAUGUAUACAAAAUUUCUGCUCUUCUAUACUUUUAAAAGCUGUAACAGGCCAUACAGUGUAUCAUUUUUACUUUAUGGUAUUGACAUUGACUGCUUGAUAGA